CCUGACGGACGCCGUCCCUCCUCGGCGCGGCCUGAGCGCCCGGCCCGACCCCGGCCAUGGGGUGCUGCUACAGCAGCGAGAACGAGGACUCGGACCAGGACCGAGAGGAGCGGAAGCUGCUGCUGGACCCUAGCAGCCCCCCUACCAAAGCUCUCAAUGGAGCCGAGCCCAACUACCACAGCCUGCCUUCCGCUCGCACUGAUGAGCAGGCCCUGCUCUCUUCCAUCCUUGCCAAGACAGCCAGCAACAUCAUUGAUGUGUCUGCUGCAGACUCACAGGGCAUGGAGCAGCAUGAGUACAUGGACCGUGCCAGGCAGUACAGGUGAGCACCUGGCCAGCGUGGGUCCCUCAGGCUACUUGGGCUCCCACCCUCCAUCACUGUUCCAGCUUUGGAGCCUGGCACCUAGUCCAAGCUUCUCAUUUGGUGCAGCCCUGGAGACUGACCACAGAUCACUUGGGUGCUUCAGUAGAUAUUCAUGUCAGCCCUGUUUACCCUGUGACACUCUUGAGGGUGCUGAGGCCAAGGGAGAUGGGCCUAGAUUGAGUCUGUGAUGAGCUGAGACCUU
rnacentral:sRNA from 1 species